rnacentral:rRNA from 1 species
CCUACGGGAGGCAGCAGUGAGGAAUAUUGGUCAAUGGACGAGAGUCUGAACGAGCAAAGUAGCGUGAAGGAUGACUGCUCUAGAGGUUGUAAACUUCGUUUAUAUGGGAAUAAAAGAGUGUGUGCAUACCCUCUUGUAUGUACCAUAUGAAUAAGAAUCGGCUAAGUCCGUGUCAGUAGCCGCGGUAAUACGGAGGAUCCGAUCGUUAUCCGGAUUUAUUGGGUUUAAAGGGAGCGUAGGUGGAUUGGUAAGUCAGUUGUGAAAGUUUGCGGGUCAAACGUAAAAUUGCAGUUGAAACUGGCAGUCUUGAGUACAGUAGAGGUGAGCGGAAUUCGUGGUGUAGCGGUGAAAUGCUUAGAUAUCACGAAGAACUCCGAUUGCGAAGGCAGCUCACUGGACUGCAACUGACACUGAUGCUCGAAAGUGUGGGUAUCAAACAGGAUUAGAUACCCGGGUAGUC